AGCUGUGUGUGUGUGUGCAGCACCGAAGAGAACACACUCCGGGCUGCUGGCGUUUGAAAGCUAAUCGAUGCUGCUUUUUCUGAGCCCGAUACCGAAACGUGUGAUGUCCGGAAGCACAUGUCACUUGACUAUUGUAGCGCCGAGCAAACUGCGUUUCCCCCCCGGAACCGCUGCGAGCAACACGGGUUAGCCCCACCGCGGGUGCUCGGUCGUAUCUGGUGGGUUGUGUGAUAAUUAUGUAGUCGACUUCAAAUGUGGAUACAUGUGUUAUUUGGGUCAGAGGUCACGUUCCCCUUUGUGCAUGGCUGUGGUUGCCCUGGGGGAGCGGGAGCGGGAGCCUGUCUCCUUUUGUUGUGCAGGACUUGCAGGCGAGGCCUCUACACUUGCGGGGGAAAGAUAAUUCUUAUCAUUUGUUGUUGCUGUUUUUGGACUGACGAAGGCCCCGGGCUGGUUUCAGUAUCACAGAGGGGAUGCAAACAUCGGAGCCCCUGUGGAACUUUGAAGGGAAGAGGAAGGUAAAUUUAAUGAUGCAAACACACAAAGUGAUUGAUUUUUCUAUUCAAAUCCAUUUAAGAACUAAAGCUCCACCUGAAUGAAUUAUUUGUGUCAUGUGAAGAUGUCAUUGAUUUGAAAAGCCUGACUCAAUAGAUUUGAACACAGGGUUUUUGGAUUCCAAAUAUAUAUGUAUAUAGAUAUUGGGGCACCAGGAGAAGCCUACCCCUCUGCCCUUCCCACAGUCACAAUCACAGCAGGAAGAAUGCCUCCACUGGGAACAAUACAUCCUAUGACAAUAUCCAGCCUAGACAAAGAGGCAGUCCAAAUACAGGCUGCUCCACAAAAGCUAGCCCAGAUUUGAGUGAGGGGCCAACCCCGACGUACCUCAUAGGCAGGUCCUCAUUCCUGACAGAGAUCCCAGCCGCAGAGGGGGGACAGCGCAUGCUGUUGGCAUACAAACUCUGCACCAGAGCCAGCUCAGAAGAGUGUUCCAACAUCGGUGCUCUGGAAAAAUCCACCCGGUGUAAUGGACACUUUCUUCUCUUUCCCUCUUUCCUCUAUGUGUUUCUCUCUCUUUCUCUGUCUCCCGCCCACUCUUUCUCCUCGGUUUAGUGCAGCAGAGCGGCGCCCACCCCCUUUGCUGACUGGCGUGGCUGAAAUAAUCCUCUCUGACAGCUCAUCAUGCGCUAAUGCAUUGUGUUGCCUGCGGCAGCCCAGUUUGCAGGCUGUAAAGCUGUGGCUAUAGUAGCACCCCUGCGCUAAUUGACACCCAUAUUAGGGAAACUUGGGGAAAUUGGACGUAGAUGAUUUAUUCCCACUGUCAGAGUUUGGGAAAAUUAGAAGCAGUUGCCACAAGAGCUCAUCCACAAGUUCUGGUUUUGUGGCAUGUCUCUGUGGGUGUUAACAACAGUGCUACAAAAUAAAGGUCAAAGUGAGGUACGCUCCUGGAAAUUGGUUUACCAAACCUGAUCACCUCAUAACUGAGCCUAUUAUAACUGAUAUUCUCAUUAAAUAAACUGCCAACCUCUCAUACUGUAGGUAAACAUUACCAUCCCCUGUCCAGCUCCUGUGAGUCGGCUGAUAAUAAACCUGUGGGUGACGGGGACAGAGCUUGCCAUGACAAUCUCAUGACAUCAUUAUUCUGGAGUAUAAAGAUAGCCUGUCAGGGCAUAAGCAAACAUUACAGUCAGCAUGAAUGCAUCUUAUAUAAACCGUACUGUCGCUGGAGCUCACCAUCAGGCUGCAGUCAAUCUACGCUGGGACUGAAAUCCCUGCAGGUUAAUUUUACUGCCUGUGGUUCCAAUGGUACAUGUUCACCUGUGAGUAGACCCACAGCAUCAUGCACACACACACAUGAGCUCUAUAAUUCUGCAGAAACAUGUAGGGUAGGAAUUUGUUCCAUCAACCAAAGGCAGGAUUCAGUUCACAGUGAAGAAGCUUUUACGGCAAAGACAACAGGCACAUUCAUUUGCUUUGGACAAAGUUAAUUUGCAUUAGGCAAAGCUCAUUUGCCUACAUCCCAUGAGCCACAUAGUUUUCCGUCGUGCUCAUCACUGGUGAACAUAUCAUCUCAUAACCAACACGCUUCAAACACCACCAUCAUCUCAUCCGAUUAAAAAUGAAAGAGCAAUUUGUCUCGAUAUUCUUUGCACAAAACCCAGGAGAAAUCAAAUCUAGGCCUCGCUGUCCCAUAGGUGCUGUGUCCCUUCAGAGCAAACCUGACAUUAAGUAGGAAAGUCAUCUGAAACAGGGUCAUGUCAGUGCGUCCUGGUAUCAGAACAGUCGACAGGGCCUGAGCGAAGAAGGGACUCCACUUCCUCCGAUCGUGGCACAAAUCCUCUUGGUUUCUGCCCCACAUUUCUUUCUGCUGACAUGAAUAUUUUAAAACACUGAUGUUGAAAUGCAGUUCUAUAUGAUGCGUUGCUGCUUAAUAUAUCUGUCAGUGCCACAGGCGUCAUGUAGAGCACAGAGUAACAGAGAGGGGGUUUCUCUCUCUGCUGAUCCGCCUGUGUACAAGCACUGAGAACCCUCUGCAGUAAUGUUUUACAGUUAAUUUAUAUGAAAAGCGGUUACAGAAGUAAAAUAGUGCAACAGACAUGGUGAGAAAAUGCUGUAAGAAAUGCACUUAGAACACAGGGAGAUUCUGAAAAGCAGGAAGUGAAUGCAGCCACAUCCUGUGCACAUCUCGGAGCCUUUUAGCUCAUGCUGCACUUGUGCCUGUCAUGCAAAAAGUCAAAUAACAGCCCUGCAGGUGGUCUCAUGAGAAGUGAAAGCUUUCCCUUUUUACCACUUUUAGGGUCCCUGGGGACUGACUGCUCGAGCAAAUGCAGUCUGUGUUUUUGUGGGUUAAAACUGAAACUGUCACAACUGGGUGCACAUUGUGCACUGUAGCGUGCUCAAAUGUCAAGAACUGUUUUAACAUUAAAGUAAAGAAGUAGUUUGUCAUUUUCAAUUUAAAGCAUGUCACCCGUGUAUGUGUAAAUAAGCAGCACAUGUUGAGCAUUAUAUCAUGCUUAAAAGGCAAUGUAAGAUAAUAAAGAUUUAAUUUUCUUUAAUGUG